rnacentral:rRNA from 1 species
UUUUGCAUAAUGAGCCUGCGAGUUGUGGUGUCUGGCAAGGUUAAGCAAACGCGAAGCCGUAGCGAAAGCGAGUCUGAAUAGGGCGCUUAGUCAGAUGCUGCAGACCCGAAACGAAGUGAUCUAUCCAUGAGCAAGUUGAAGCUAGUGUAAGAACUAGUGGAGGACUGAACCCAUAGGCGUUGAAAAGCCCCGGGAUGACUUGUGGAUAGGGGUGAAAGGCCAAUCAAACUUCGUGAUAGCUGGUUCUCUCCGAAAUAUAUUUAGGUAUAGCGUUGUGUCGUAAUAUAAGGGGGUAGAGCACUGAAUGGGCUAGGGCAUACACCAAUGUACCAAACCCUAUCAAACUCCGAAUACCUUAUAUGUAAUCACAGCAGUCAGGCGGCGAGUGAUAAAAUCCGUCGUCAAGAGGGAAACAACCCAGACUACCAGCUAAGGUCCCUAAAUCUUACUUAAGUGGAAAACGAUGUGAAGUUACUUAAACAACCAGGAGGUUGGCUUAGAAGCAGCCAUCCUUUAAAGAAAGCGUAAUAGCUCACUGGUCUAGUGAUUUUGCGCGGAAAAUAUAACGGGGCUAAAGUAAGUACCGAAGCUGUAGACUUGCACACAACUUAGAUUAUUUAAGUUUAGAAUAAGUAGUUUAAGUUGUGUGCAAGUGGUAGGAGAGCGUUCUAUUUGCGUCGAAGGUAUACCGGUAAGGAGUGCUGGAGCGAAUAGAAGUGAGCAUGCAGGCAUGAGUAGCGAUAAUUAAUGUGAGAAUCAUUAACGCCGUAAACCCAAGGUUUCCUACGCGAUGCUCGUCAUCGUAGGGUUAGUCGGGUCCUAAGUCGAGUCCGAAAGGGGUAGACGAUGGCAAAUUGGUUAAUAUUCCAAUACCAACAUUAGUGUGCGAUGGAAGGACGCUUAGGGCUAAGGGGGCUAGCGGAUGGAAGUGCUAGUCUAAGGUCGUAGGAGGUUAUACAGGCAAAUCCGUAUAACAAUACUCCGAGAACUGAAAGGCUUUUUGAAGUCUUCGGAUGGAUAGAAGAACCCCUGAUGCCGUCGAGCCAAGAAAAGUUUCUAAGUUUAGCUAAUGUUGCCCGUACCGUAAACCGACACAGGUGGGUGGGAUGAGUAUUCUAAGGCGCGUGGAAGAACUCUCUUUAAGGAACUCUGCAAAAUAGCACCGUAUCUUCGGUAUAAGGUGUGGUUAGCUUCGUAUUAGGAUUUACUCCGAAAGCGAAGAAACUUACAACAAAGAGUCCCUCCCGACUGUUUACCAAAAACACAGCACUCUGCUAACUCGUAAGAGGAUGUAUAGGGUGUGACGCCUGCCCGGUGCUCGAAGGUUAAUUGAUGGGGUUAGCAUUAGCGAAGCUCUUGAUCGAAGCCCGAGUAAACGGCGGCCGUAACUAUAACGGUCCUAAGGUAGCGAAAUUCCUUGUCGGUUAAAUACCGACCUGCAUGAAUGGCGUAACGAGAUGGGAGCUGUCUCAAAGAGGGAUCCAGUGAAAUUGUAGUGGAGGUGAAAAUUCCUCCUACCCGCGGCAAGACGGAAAGACCCCGUGGACCUUUACUACAGCUUGACACUGCUACUUGGAUAAGAAUGUGCAGGAUAGGUGGGAGGCUUUGAGUAUAUGACGCCAGUUGUAUAUGAGCCAUUGUUGAGAUACCACUCUUUCUUAUUUGGGUAGCUAACCAGCUUGAGUUAUCCUCAAGUGGGACAAUGUCUGGUGGGUAGUUUGACUGGGGCGGUCGCCUCCCAAAUAAUAACGGAGGCUUACAAAGGUUGGCUCAGAACGGUUGGAAAUCGUUCGUAGAGUAUAAAGGUAUAAGCCAGCUUAACUGCAAGACAUACAAGUCAAGCAGAGACGAAAGUCGGUCUUAGUGAUCCGGUGGUUCUGUGUGGAAGGGCCAUCGCUCAAAGGAUAAAAGGUACCCCGGGGAUAACAGGCUGAUCUCCCCCAAGAGCUCACAUCGACGGGGAGGUUUGGCACCUCGAUGUCGGCUCAUCGCAUCCUGGGGCUGGAGCAGGUCCCAAGGGUAUGGCUGUUCGCCAUUUAAAGCGGUACGCGAGCUGGGUUCAGAACGUCGUGAGACAGUUCGGUCCCUAUCUGCCGUGGGCGUAAGAAGAUUGAAGAGAUUUGACCCUAGUACGAGAGGACCGGGUUGAACAAACCACUGGUGUAGCUGUUGUUCUGCCAAGAGCAUCGCAGCGUAGCUAAGUUUGGAAAGGAUAAACGCUGAAAGCAUCUAAGCGUGAAGCCAACUCUAAGAUGAAUCUUCUCUAAGCUCUCUAGAAGACUACUAGUUUGAUAGGCUGGGUGUGUAAUGGAUGAAAGUCCUUUAGCUGACCAGUACUAAUAGAGCGUUUGGCUUAUCUUUAAUAAAGCAU